UACGGAGGGAGCUAGCGUUGUUCGGAAUUACUGGGCGUAAAGCGCACGUAGGCGGCUACUCAAGUCAGAGGUGAAAGCCCAGGGCUCAACCUUGGAACUGCCUUUGAAACUAGGUAGCUAGAAUUCUGGAGAGGUCAGUGGAAUUCCGGGUGUAGUGGUGAAAUGCGUAGAGAUCCGGAGGAACCCCAGAGGCGAAGGCGGCCCCCUGGCUCGUACCUGACGCUCAGCCACGAAAGCAUGGGGAGCGAACGGG
rnacentral:rRNA from 1 species